rnacentral:rRNA from 1 species
AUGCCUCAGUACGGCGAGUGAGCGGCAAAGCUCAAUUUGAAAUCUAGUACCUUCGGUGCUCGAGUUGUAAUUUGAAGGUAGUUUUCUGGUGCUGGCCCUUGUCUAUGUUCCUUGGAACAGGACGUCAUAGAGGGUGAGAAUCCCGUCUGAUGGGGUGUCCAGUGCUUUGUAGAUUUCUACCGAAGAGUCGAGUUGUUUGGGAAUGCAGCUCUAAGUGGGUGGUAAAUUCCAUCUAAAGCUAAAUACUGGCGAGAGACCGAUAGCGAACAAGUACAGUGAUGGAAAGAUGAAAAGAACUUUGAAAAGAGAGUGAAAAAGUACGUGAAAUUGUUGAAAGGGAAGGGUAUUGGAUCAGACUUGGUGUCUUGUG